ACAUAAUAGCAACCAAUCCAAAACAAACAAGACCCAAAAAAAAAGCGAAAGCCCUAAUAAAAUAAGUCGAGAAUAAACAGCUCUGGAAGCAAAACAAUAUCAAAAUUUGGAACCUUAAACGAGCUGUUAUCCAAACCUUCCAGAGAAAACCAAAGCUGAAGGGAUGCCACUGAUGACGAGACAAAAGAGAUGAUCCAGCGACCGUGGAAAACCAGAGAAGCAGCUAUUAAAACUGAUGAACGGGCAACCACUGAUUUUGAAGCUUGUGUUCUAGCAGAGAGAUCCCAAAUCCCAAGCCAGUCAUGCAGAAACCAUGAAAACCCUUGAGCUCCCCCCACCUUCCAGAUCCCCCCGAUCUAGGUCACAAGAACUCCUCAAUUGCCCCGACAAAUCGACCCGAUAACAUCCCUAUCAUGGUUCACCACUGUUGAAAUAAAUAGAGGCACCGUGCCUACCCUGGAAACAAAACCCCCAUCUCGAAGACCCAUUGAUGCCAACCAAUAGACCACCUGAUUUGCAAUGCGAGGGACAUGCAGAAAGUGAAAUCCGCAAAGAUGCGUUACCAUGGCAAUAAUGUCCCUGAUGUAAGGACCCAGAACAGACACAUCAGGUCGAGGAGAGAGGAGUUUGUAGAUCACCGUUAAAGAAUCACCUUAAAAAAUGACCAACUGAAAUCCCAAAUCCAGAGCCAAGUGGACUGCAUGAUAACAAGCCAGUGCCUCGGCAGCGAAAGGCGAAGGAAAAAGAUCAGACCCGCUAUAAGUUGCGUCAAAAUUUACCUUUACAAAAAGAAGAUCCGAAGGCCGCCACCGCUCAACACCGAUCAAGCGACCAUGUAACUGCUGAUUUAUCACAUCCAAUUUCAAAAGGGACCCCUAAAUAGCAAAAACUGACUGGCAAUCUCGGAAGAUAUGUUUUAAAGUCUCAUUAGCAAUAAGGGAUCGUGGACACAAAGAAAAGGUUCCAAAACAUUUGUGAUAUAGAGUAUAAUAGCUAGGAAUGUAAUUGUGAAAAUUUCUUCAAACUGUAAUUUUAACUUUUUCUAGUAGUUUCAACUUCUAUAGAGUAGUAUAGAAAAGUUUGUAAGAGUUUGGAAUCGCCGUGUAACCCGAAGAAAUAAGGAGUCUGUAACCACUACGAACAGAGAAUUCACUCUAAGGCUCAACACCUCAGAUCAAUAAGUCAUCGUGGACCAUUCGAGAAAAAGAAAUACAGAGCACACGAUUAACCAGGGCACAGCCCAGAACGCUGGUGAGUCGGUUUUAUUCCCAUUGUCUCGAAUAAGGGUUAAUGAAUUUUGAAACAAGUAAAUCUGGAGACAUAA